UACAGAGGGGGCAAGCGUUGUUCGGAAUUACUGGGCGUAAAGGGUGCGUAGGUGGCCAGGUAAGUUCGGUGUGAAAGCUCGGAGCUUAACUCCGAAAUGUCAUUGAAUACUAUCUGGCUAGAGGGUCGGAGGGGAGACUGGAAUUCUCGGUGUAGCAGUGAAAUGCGUAGAUAUCGAGAGGAACACCAGUGGCGAAGGCGAGUCUCUGGACGACACCUGACACUGAGGCACGAAAGCUAGGGGAGCAAACAGG
rnacentral:rRNA from 1 species